rnacentral:rRNA from 1 species
GACGAACGCUGGCGGCGUGCUUAACACAUGCAAGUCGAACGGAAAGGCCUGCUUUCCCUUGUGGAUUGCGGGUGCUCGAGUGGCGAACGGGUGAGUAACACGUGAGUGAUCUGCCCCCAACUUGGGUAUAAGCCUGGGAAACUGGGUCUAAUUCCCGAUAGGACUGCAGGGUGGUGCCUGUGGUGGAAAACGAUUUUCUAGUGGUUGGGGAUGAGCUCGCGGCCUAUCAGCUUGUUGGUGGGGUAAUGGCCUACCAAGGCGGCGACGGGUAGCCGGCCUGGGAUGGUGGACGGCCACAUUGGGACUGAGAUACGGCCCAGACUCGUACGGGAGGCAGCAGUGGGGAAUAUUGCACAAUGGGCGGAAGCCUGAUGCAGCGACGCCGCGUGGGGGAUGACGGCCUUCGGGUUGUAAACUCCUUUCGACCGCGAGGAAGCCACCUGGUUGGAAGGGUGGUGACGGUAGUGGUAGAAGAAGCACCGGCUAACUACGUG